AUUGAACGCUGGCGGCAGGCCUAACACAUGCAAGUCGAGCGGAGCGGCGGAGGGGUGAGUAAUGCCAAUGAAUCUGCCUGGUAGUGGGGGAUAACGUCCGGAAACGGGCGCUAAUACCGCAUACUAGCAGAUGAGCCUAGGCCGGAUUAGCAAGUGGGUGGGGUAAAGGCCUACCAAGGCGACGAUCCGGAACUGGUCUGAGAGGAUGAUCAGUCACACUGGAACUGAGACACGGUCCAGACUCCUACGGGAGGCAGCAGUGGGGAAUAUUGGACAAUGGGCGAAAGCCUGAUCCAGCCAUGCCGCGUGUGUGAAGAAGGUCUUAGGAUUGUAAAGCACUUUAAGUUGGGAGGCGUUACCAACAGAAUAAGCACCGGCUAACUUCGUGCCAGCAGCCGCGGUAAUUC
rnacentral:rRNA from 1 species